CAGUAGCCGCGGUAAUACAGAGGGUGCAAGCGUUAAUCGGAAUUACUGGGCGUAAAGCGCGCGUAGGUGGUUUGUUAAGUUGGAUGUGAAAUCCCCGGGAUCAACCUGGGAACUGCAUCCAAAACUGGCAAGCUAGAGUAUGGUAGAGGGUGGUGGAAUUUCCUGUGUAGCGGUGAAAUGCGUAGAUAUAGGAAGGAACACCAGUGGCGAAGGCGACCACCUGGACUGAUACUGACACUGAGGUGCGAAAGCGUGGGGAGCAAACAGGAUUAGAUACCCCAGUAGUCCCUGUCUUUAUACA
rnacentral:rRNA from 1 species